rnacentral:rRNA from 1 species
AGUAAUCGCGGAUCAGAAUGCCGCGGUGAAUACGUUCCCGGGUCUUGUACACACCGCCCGUCACACCAUGGGAGUCGGAAAUGCCCGAAGUCUGUGACCCAACCUACGGGAGGGAGCAGCCGAAGGCAGGUCGGAUGACUGGGGUGAAGUCGUAACAAGGUACC